AGUCUGGUGCCAGCAGCCGCGGUAAUUCCAGCUCCAAUAGUGUAUAUUAAUGUUCCUGCUGUUAUUCGAUGCUCGUAGUUGGAUUUCUGGGGGCUGAGAUUGGAAGGUGGCCAAGGUCACCGCCGAACUCUUCCUUCAUCCACCUGUUAACGUUGUCCGGGAUUUGUUUCUCGGCUUCAGGCUCAGGUAUUUUACCCUUUCUAUAUAUUCAUUUAUUUAUCUUCUUUUUGAGUAAAUUAUAGUGUUUCAGGCAGGCGUGCGCCGGAAUACUUUAGCAUGGAAUAAUCGAAUUGGACCGUGUAUUCUUAUAGAAUUCUUCCUUAUUUGUUGGUUUCAAGGACACGGAAAUGGUUAAUAGGGAUAGUGUUUUCAGGGGAGGCAUUAGUAUUUAAUUUCCAGAGGUGAAAUUCUUUGAAAUAUUAAAGACUAACUUAUGCGAAAGCAUUUAUUUUGCCAAUAAUGUUUUCAUUAAUCAUUGAACGAAAGUUAGGGGAUCAAAGACGAUCAGAUACCGUCCUAGUCUUAACCAUAAACGUUGCCGACUAGGGAUCGGAGAGCGUGCACAUUCCGCCUUCGGCACCUUACGAGAAAUCAAAGUCUUUUGGGUUCUGGGGGUAGUAUGGUCGCAAGGCUGAAACUUAAAGGAAUUGACGGAAGGGCACCACCAGGAGUGGAGCUUGCGGCUCAAUUUGACUCAACACGGGAAAUCUUACCAGGUCCAGACAUAGCGAGGAUUGACAGAUUGAUAGCUCUUUCUUGAUUCUAUGGGUAUUUAUUUUAAUUUUGGUGGUGCAUGGCCGUUCUUAGUUGGUGGAGUGAUUUGUCUGGUUAAUUCCGUUAAACGAACGAGACCUCAGCCUGCUAAAUAGUUACCUGUCUUUCUUUUACGAGACUUGAUAACUUCUUAGAGGGACGUUGUGUGCAACCACAAGGAAGUUGAGGCAAUAACAGGUCUGUGAUGCCCUUAGAUGUCCUGGGCCGCACGCGUGCUACACUGAUACGUACAACAAGGUAUAUGCAUUUAUGCAUCGAUGCUGCUCCGAAAUAGACACAGCUAAAUCUUCUAAAAUACGUAUCGUGCUGCGGAUAGAUCGUUGAAAUUAUGGAUCUUGAAGGUGGAAUUCCUAGUAAGCGCGGGUCAUCAACCCGCGUUGAUUACGUCCCUGCCCUUUGUACACACCGCCCGUCGCUCCUACCAAUUUCGAGUGGCUCGGUGAACCUCUUUGGACUGUCGAGCAAUCGCGAAAUUAGAGUGAACCUGGUCAC
rnacentral:rRNA from 1 species